rnacentral:rRNA from 1 species
CUACGUGCCAGCAGCCGCGGUAAUACGGAAGGUCCAGGCGUUAUCCGGAUUUAUUGGGUUUAAAGGGAGCGUAGGCUGGAGAUUAAGUGUGUUGUGAAAUGUAGACGCUCAACGUCUGAAUUGCAGCGCAUACUGGUUUCCUUGAGUACGCACAACGUUGGCGGAAUUCGUCGUGUAGCGGUGAAAUGCUUAGAUAUGACGAAGAACUCCGAUUGCGAAGGCAGCUGACGGGAGCGCAACUGACGCUUAAGCUCGAAGGUGCGGGUAUCAAACAGGAUUAGAUACCCUGGUAGUCCGCACAGUAAACGAUGGAUGCCCGCUGUUGGUACCUGGUAUCAGCGGCUAAGCGAAAGCAUUAAGCAUCCCACCUGGGGAGUACGCCGGCAACGGUGAAACUCAAAGGAAUUGACGGGGGCCCGCACAAGCGGAGGAACAUGUGGUUUAAUUCGAUGAUACGCGAGGAACCUUACCCGGGCUUGAAUUGCAGAGGAAGGAUUUAGAGAUAAGA